UACAUGGGGUGCAAACGUUGUUCGGAUUCAUUGGGCGUAAAGGGUGCGUAGGUGGCGCCGUAAGUCAGGUGUGAAAUUUCGGAGCUUAACUCCGAAACUGCAUUUGAUACUGCGGUGCUUGAGGACUGGAGAGGAGACUGGAAUUUACGGUGUAGCAGUGAAAUGCGUAGAUAUCGUAAGGAAGACCAGUGGCGAAGGCGGGUCUCUGGACAGUUCCUGACACUGAGGCACGAAGGCCAGGGGAGCAAACGGG
rnacentral:rRNA from 1 species